rnacentral:rRNA from 1 species
CCUACGGGAGGCAGCAGUAGGGAAUAUUGCUCAAUGGGGGAAACUCUGAAGCAGCAACGCCGCGUGAGUGAAGAAGUAUUUCGGUAUGUAAAGCUCUAUCAGCAGGGAAGAAAAUGACGGUACCUGAUUAAGAAGCCCCGGCUAACUACGUGCCAGCAGCCGCGGUAAUACGUAGGGGGCAAGCGUUAUCCGGAUUUACUGGGUGUAAAGGGAGCGUAGACGGCAGCACAAGUCUGGAGUGAAAUGCCGGGGCUUAACCCCGGAACUGCUUUGGAAACUGUGCAGCUAGAGUGCAGGAGAGGUAAGUGGAAUGCCUAGUGUAGCGGUGAAAUGCGUAGAUAUUAGGAGGAACACCAGUGGCGAAGGCGGCUUACUGGACUGUAACUGACGUUGAGGCUCGAAAGCGUGGGGAGCAAACAGGAUUAGAUACCCCGGUAGUC